rnacentral:rRNA from 1 species
GCAGUCGACGGUAACAGGAAGCAGCUUGCUGCUUCGCUGACGAGUGGCGGACGGGUGAGUAAUGUCUGGGAAACUGCCUGAUGGAGGGGGAUAACUACUGGAAACGGUAGCUAAUACCGCAUAAUGUCGCAAGACCAAAGAGGGGGACCUUCGGGCCUCUUGCCAUCGGAUGUGCCCAGAUGGGAUUAGCUUGUUGGUGGGGUAACGGCUCACCAAGGCGACGAUCCCUAGCUGGUCUGAGAGGAUGACCAGCCACACUGGAACUGAGACACGGUCCAGACUCCUACGGGAGGCAGCAGUGGGGAAUAUUGCACAAUGGGCGCAAGCCUGAUGCAGCCAUGCCGCGUGUAUGAAGAAGGCCUUCGGGUUGUAAAGUACUUUCAGCGGGGAGGAAGGGAGUAAAGUUAAUACCUUUGCUCAUUGACGUUACCCGCAGAAGAAGCACCGGCUAACUCCGUGCCAGCAGCCGCGGUAAUACGGAGGGUGCAAGCGUUAAUCGGAAUUACUGGGCGUAAAGCGCACGCAGGCGGUUUGUUAAGUCAGAUGUGAAAUCCCCGGGCUCAACCUGGGAACUGCAUCUGAUACUGGCAAGCUUGAGUCUCGUAGAGGGGGGUAGAAUUCCAGGUGUAGCGGUGAAAUGCGUAGAGAUCUGGAGGAAUACCGGUGGCGAAGGCGGCCCCCUGGACGAAGACUGACGCUC